rnacentral:rRNA from 1 species
GCCUUGUUGUCAAUAUGGUCUCUAAAACAAGAUUAGCCUGUUAUCCCUAAGGUAGCUUUUUCUAUGGGUCAGUAAUUCUGGAUCUAAGAAAAGAUUAAGAUUUUUCUAGUUGCCCCAACUAAGAUUUUUAAGUAGUUAAGUUAAUUAUUAAUCUAAGCUCUAUAGGGUCUUUUCGUCUUUUUAAUUAAGACAAGUCUCUUCACUUGUAGGCCAAUUUCUAUAAUAUUAAUAUGAGACAGGGAAGCUUACGUAUAUUCAUUCAUUCCAGCCAUCAAUUAAACGGCAAAUGAUUAUGC